rnacentral:rRNA from 1 species
AACGAACGCUGGCGGCAUGCCUAAUACAUGCCAGUCGAACGAGACCUUCGGGUCUAGUGGCGCACGGGUGCGUAACGCGUGGGAACCUGCCCUUAGGUUCGGAAUAACUCCCCGAAAGGGGUGCUAAUACCGGAUAAUGUCUUCGGACCAAAGAUUUAUCGCCUUUGGAUGGGCCCGCGUUGGAUUAGCUAGUUGGUAGGGUAAAAGCCUACCAAGGCGACGAUCCAUAGCUGGUCUGAGAGGAUGAUCAGCCACACUGGGACUGAGACACGGCCCAGACUCCUACGGGAGGCAGCAGUGGGGAAUAUUGGACAAUGGGCGAAAGCCUGAUCCAGCAAUGCCGCGUGAGUGAUGAAGGCCUUAGGGUUGUAAAGCUCUUUUACCCGGGAUGAUAAUGACAGUACCGGGAGAAUAAGCUCCGGCUAACUCCGUG